rnacentral:rRNA from 1 species
UUUAAUGAGAGUUUGAUCCUGGCUCAGGACGAACGCUGGCGGCGUGCCUAAUACAUGCAAGUAGAACGCUGAUGUUUGGUGUUUACACUAGACUGAUGAGUUGCGAACGGGUGAGUAACGCGUAGGUAACCUGCCUCAUAGCGGGGGAUAACUAUUGGAAACGAUAGCUAAUACCGCAUAAGAGUGAUUAACACAUGUUAGUUAUUUAAAAGGAGCAAUUGCUU